GCCUAACACAUGCAAGUAGAACGGUAACAGAGAGAGCUUGCUCUCUGCUGACGAGUUGCGAACGGGUGCGUAACGCGUAUGCAACCUACCCAUAACAGGGGGAUAGCCCAUAGAAAUGUGGAUUAAUACCCCAUAAUAUCAUAGAUUGGCAUCAUGAAAUGAUUAAAACUCCGGUGGUUAUGGAUGGGCAUGCGUGACAUUAGCUAGUUGGUGAGGUAACUGCUCACCAAGGCGACGAUGUCUAGGGGUUCUGAGAGGAUGAUCCCCCACACUGGUACUGAGACACGGACCAGACUCCUACGGGAGGCAGCAGUGAGGAAUAUUGCGCAAUGGAGGAAACUCUGACGCAGCCAUGCCGCGUGCAGGAAGACUGCCCUAUGGGUUGUAAACUGCUUUUAUAUAGGAAGAACUACAGCUACGUGUAGCUGUUUGACGGUACUAUACGAAUAAGGACCGG
rnacentral:rRNA from 1 species